AUACGUAGGGGGCGAGCGUUGUCCGGAAUGAUUGGGCGUAAAGGGCGCGUAGGCGGCCCGGUAAGUCUGGAGUGAAAGUCCUGUUUUUAAGAUGGGAAUUGCUUUGGAUACUGUCGGGCUUGAGUGCAGGAGGGGUAAGUGGAAUUCCCUGUGUAGCGGUGAAAUGCGUAGAGAUUGGGAGGAACACCAGUGGCGAAGGCGACUUACUGGACUGUAACUGACGCUGAGGCGCGAAAGUGUGGGGAGCAAACAGGAUUAGAUACCCUGGUAGUCCACACUGUAAACGAUGAAUGCUAGGUGUAGGGGGUAUCGACCCCUUCUGUGCCGCAGUCAACACAAUAAGCAUUCCGCCUGGGGAGUACGGCCGCAAGGUUGAAACUCAAAGGAAUUGGCGGGG
rnacentral:rRNA from 1 species